UCUCCUGGAAACGGGUGGUAAUGCCGGAUGCUCCGGUUGGAUGCAUGUCCUUCCGGGAAAGAUCCAUCGGUAUGGGAUGGGGUCGCGUCCUAUCAGCUUGAUGGCGGGGUAACGGCCCACCAUGGCUUCGACGGGUAGCCGGCCUGAGAGGGCGACCGGCCACAUUGGGACUGAGAUACGGCCCAGACUCCUACGGGAGGCAGCAGUGGGGAAUAUUGCACAAUGGGCGCAAGCCUGAUGCAGCGACGCCGCGUGCGGGAUGGAGGCCUUCGGGUUGUAAACCGCUUUUGAUCGGGAGCAAGCCCUUCGGGGUGAGUGUACCUUUCGAAUAAGCACCGGCUAACUACGUGCCAGCAGCCGCGGUAAUACGUAGGGUGCAAGCGUUAUCCGGAAUUAUUGGGCGUAAAGGGCUCGUAGGCGGUUCGUCGCGUCCGGUGUGAAAGCCCAUCGCUUAACGGUGGGUCUGCGCCGGGUACGGGCGGGCUGGAGUGCGGUAGGGGAGACUGGAAUUCCCGGUGUAACGGUGGAAUGUGUAGAUAU
rnacentral:rRNA from 1 species